AGCAUCCUGUAGCCUUCUUACCUGCUCCAGACCUAGAAGCUGAGAUUUAGUUCCAAGUGUACUAUGUUUUCUAGCCCCUGCUCUAACGUGUCAUGGGAUCUCCAGAUGUUCCACAGCGUCCUGAGGCUUGUGCUGCUCACUGCCAACCUGCUCUAGAGAGCACUGAGUGACAGAUAUUGUAAACAUCCUACACUCUCAGCUGUGAAAAGUAAGAAAGCUGGGAGAAGGCUGUUUACUCUCUCUGCCUUGGAAAUCAGCUAAGAGAAAUGAAUUUUAGAUGGCCUGUAGGUGAUCCUCUAUCACUGAUCUGUUAUGUGGUCAACUCUAAAAGGUAAAAGGGUGAGCUAAUCUGUGCUAAGAAGUGCAAGACACUUUGGAAAAUUGGUUAUUUUUAACUGUUU
rnacentral:lncRNA from 1 species